CGCUGGCGGCCUGCCUAACACAUGCAAGUCGAGGGGCAGCGAGAUCAGUGCUUGCACUGAUUGUCGGCGACCGGCGCACGGGUGCGUAACCGCGUAUGCAACCUACCCAUUACAGGGGGAUAACACUGAGAAAUCGGUACUAAUACCCCAUAACAUCCAGGGAGGCAUCUUCUUGGGUUGAAAACUCCGGUGGUAAUGGAUGGGCAUGCGUUGUAUUAGUUAGUCGGUGGGGUAACGGCUCACCAAGACAACGAUACAUAGGGGGACUGAGAGGUUAACCCCCCACAUUGGUACUGAGACACGGACCAAACUCCUACGGGAGGCAGCAGUGAGGAAUAUUGGUCAAUGGACGCAAGUCUGAACCAGCCAUGCCGCGUGCAGGAAGACGGCUCUAUGAGUUGUAAACUGCUUUUGUACGAGGGUAAACGCAGAUACGCGUAUCUGUCUGAAAGUAUCGUACGAAUAAGGAUCGGCUAACUCCGUGCCAGCAGCCGCGGUAAUACGGAGGAUUCAAGCAUUAUCCGGAUUUAUUGGGUUUAAAGGGUGCGUAGGUGGUCGGAUAAGUUAGAGGUGAAAUCCCGGGGCUCAACUUCGGAAUUGCCUCUGAUACUGUUCGGCUAGAGAGUAGUUGCGGUAGGCGGAAUGUAUGGUGUAGCGGUGAAAUGCUUAGAGAUCAUACAGAACACCGAUUGCGAAGGCAGCUUACCAAGCUACUUCUGACGUUGAGGCACGAAAGCGUGGGGAGCGAACAGGAUUAGAUACCCUGGUAGUCCACGCAGUAAACGAUGAUAACUCGUUGUCGGCGAUACAGUGUCGGUGACUAAGCGAAAGCGAUAAGUUAUCCACCUGGGGAGUACGUUCGCAAGAAUGAAACUCAAAGGAAUUGACGGGGGCCCGCACAAGCGGAGGAACAUGUGGUUUAAUUCGAUGAUACGCGAGGAACCUUACCCGGGCUUGAAAGUUAGUGACGGAUCUUGAAAGAGGUCUUCCCUUCGGGGCACGAAACUAGGUGCUGCAUGGUUGUCGUCAGCUCGUGCCGUGAGGUGUCGGGUUAAGUCCCAUAACGAGCGCAACCCCUACCGUUAGUUGCCAGCAGGUCAAGCUGGGCACUCUGACGGGACUGCCGGUGUAAGCCGAGAGGAAGGUGGGGAUGACGUCAAAUCAGCACGGCCCUUACGUCCGGGGCUACACACGUGUUACAAUGGCAGGUACAGAGGGCAGCUACCCAGCGAUGGGAUGCGAAUCUCGAAAGCCUGUCUCAGUUCGGAUUGGAGGCUGAAACCCGCCUCCAUGAAGUUGGAUUCGCUAGUAAUCGUGCAUCAGCCAUGGCGCGGUGAAUACGUUCCCGGGCCUUGCACACACCGCCCGUCA
rnacentral:rRNA from 1 species